rnacentral:rRNA from 1 species
AGCGAACGCUGGCGGCAGGCUUAACACAUGCAAGUCGAACGCCCCGCAAGGGGAGUGGCAGACGGGUGAGUAACACGUGGGAACGUACCCUUUGGUUCGGAAUAACUUGGGGAAACUCAAGCUAAUACCGGAUAAGCCCUUAUGGGGAAAGGUUUACUGCCGAAGGAUCGGCCCGCGUCUGAUUAGCUAGUUGGUGAGGUAAUGGCUCACCAAGGCGACGAUCAGUAGCUGGUCUGAGAGGAUGAUCAGCCACACUGGGACUGAGACACGGCCCAGACUCCUACGGGAGGCAGCAGUGGGGAAUAUUGGACAAUGGGGGCAACCCUGAUCCAGCCAUGCCGCGUGAGUGAUGAAGGCCUUAGGGUUGUAAAGCCCUUUUACCCGGGACGAUAAUGACUGUACCGGGAGAAUAAGCCUCGGCUAACUUCGUGCCAGCCGCCGCGGUAA